CCCAAGGCUGCGCGUAUGCACUGCACCCCCCCCCCCCACCCAGCACAGCAGGAGCAGGACCCUGGCCAGCGCGGUGGGUGCUGAGGCCGGAGCCCCCCGUCUGCCUGGCGAGGUAAAGCUUAUUUCCGGGAUAGAGGAGUCCCCACCACGUCCUCCUGUUUCCUGCACUAGCCAGAACAGCCCCUCGAGCCCUCAGGCUGCCGCAAACGUUCCAGCUGGAUGAAGACCAGCCACCCUGGAACCUUGGGCCAGGCCCAGGAGAGAAGCAGUGAGGACCGCAGCACCACCUAAAACACCCCCAUUUGAACAUCUACGCUCGUCUUCACCCGUGCGACCAUGUCCUCGCGGCCUACUGUAUACCCCCUCUCUGUGCUCAGUGCCCUCCGGGCUUCUUCUCGGAUGAGCAAAUGCCGACAAGUGAAGUGAGCAAAGAAGAGCACUCAGCGGGGGUUAAAGCAGGGAUGCGUGUGCCCUGAGGA